rnacentral:tRNA from 1 species
UCCCUGCUGGCUCAGCUGGUAAAGAAUCCACCUGCAAUGCGGGAGACCUGGGUUCGAUCCCUGGGUUGGGAA